AUGAACGCUAGCUACAGGCUUAACACAUGCAAGUCGAGGGGCAGCGGGAUUGAAGCUUGCUUCAAUUGCCGGCGACCGGCGCACGGGUGAGUAACGCGUAUCCAACCUUCCGCUUACUCGGGGAUAGCCUUUCGAAAGAAAGAUUAAUACCCGAUGGUAUCUUAAGCACGCAUGAGAUUAAGAUUAAAGAUUUAUCGGUAAGCGAUGGGGAUGCGUUCCAUUAGGCAGUUGGCGGGGUAACGGCCCACCAAACCUACGAUGGAUAGGGGUUCUGAGAGGAAGGUCCCCCACAUUGGAACUGAGACACGGUCCAAACUCCUACGGGAGGCAGCAGUGAGGAAUAUUGGUCAAUGGGCGAGAGCCUGAACCAGCCAAGUAGCGUGAAGGAUGACGGCCCUACGGGUUGUAAACUUCUUUUGUGCGGGAAUAAAGGAACCUACGUGUAGGUUUUUGCAUGUACCGUAACGAAUAAGCAUCGGCUAACUCCGUGCCAGCAGCCGCGGUAAUACGGAGGAUGCGAGCGUUAUCCGGAUUUAUUGGGUUUAAAGGGAGCGUAGACGGGUUUUUAAGUCAGCUGUGAAAGUUUGGGGCUCAACCUUAAAAUUGCAGUUGAAACUGGAGACCUUGAGUACGGUUGAGGCAGGCGGAAUUCGUGGUGUAGCGGUGAAAUGCUUAGAUAUCACGAAGAACCCCGAUUGCGAAGGCAGCCUGCUAAGCCGCCACUGACGUUGAGGCUCGAAAGUGCGGGUAUCAAACAGGAUUAGAUACCCUGGUAGUCCGCACGGUAAACGAUGGAUACUCGCUGUUGGCGAUAGACAGUCAGCGGCCAAGCGAAAGCGUUAAGUAUCCCACCUGGGGAGUACGCCGGCAACGGUGAAACUCAAAGGAAUUGACGGGGGCCCGCACAAGCAGUGGAGUAUGUGGUUUAAUUCGACGCAACGCGAAGAACCUUACCAAGUCUUGACAUCCCUUGACGAUGCUGGAAACAGUAUUUCUCUUCGGAGCAAGGAGACAGGUGGUGCAUGGUUGUCGUCAGCUCGUGUCGUGAGAUGUUGGGUUAAGUCCCGCAACGAGCGCAACCCUUAUCCUUUGUUGCCAGCGGUCCGGCCGGGAACUCAAAGGAGACUGCCAGUGAUAAACUGGAGGAAGGUGGGGAUGACGUCAAAUCAGCACGGCCCUUACGUCCGGGGCUACACACGUGUUACAAUGGGGAGUACAGAGGGCAGCUACCGGGCGACCGGAUGCGAAUCCCGAAAGCUCCUCUCAGUUCGGACUGGAGUCUGCAACCCGACUCCACGAAGCUGGAUUCGCUAGUAAUCGCGCAUCAGCCACGGCGCGGUGAAUACGUUCCCGGGCCUUGUACACACCGCCCGUCAAGCCAUGAAAGCCGGGGGUACCUGAAGUACGUAACCGCGAGGAUCGUCCUAGGGUAAAACCGGUAAUUGGGGCU
rnacentral:rRNA from 1 species